rnacentral:rRNA from 1 species
CCCUUAGAUGUCCUGGGCCGCACGCGUGUUACACUGAUGCAUUCAACGAGCUUAUAACCUUGGCCGAGAGGCCUGGGCAAUCUUGUUAACGUGCAUCGUGAUAGGGAUAGAUUAUUGAAAUUAUUAAUCUUGAACGAGGAAUUCCUAGUAAACGCAGAUCAUCAAUCUGCAUUGAUUACGUCCCUGCCCUUUGUACACACCGCCCGUCGCACCUACCGAUUGAAUGGUCCGGUGAAGCCUCGGGAUUGUGGUUAGUUUCCUUCAUUGGAAGUUAGCCGCGAGAACUUGUCUAAACCUUAUCAUUUAGAGGAAGGUGAAGUCGUAACA